GACGAACGCUGGCGGCGUGCUUAACACAUGCAAGUCGAACGGAAAGGCCUGCUUUCCCUUGUGGAUUGCGGGUACUCGAGUGGCGAACGGGUGAGUAACACGUGAGUGAUCUGCCCCCAACUUGGGUAUAAGCCUGGGAAACUGGGUCUAAUUCCCGAUAGGACUGCAGGGUGGUGCCUGUGGUGGAAAACGAUUUUCUAGUGGUUGGGGAUGAGCUCGCGGCCUAUCAGCUUGUUGGUGGGGUAAUGGCCUACCAAGGCGGCGACGGGUAGCCGGCCUGAGAGGGUGGACGGCCACAUUGGGACUGAGAUACGGCCCAGACUCCUACGGGAGGCAGCAAUGGGGAAUAUGGCACAAUGGGCGGAAGCCUGAUGCAGCGACGCCGCGUGGGGGAUGACGGCCUUCGGGUUGUAAACUCCUUUCGACCGCGAGGAAGCCACCUGGUUGGAAGGGUGGUGACGGUAGUGGUAGAAGAAGCACCGGCUAACUACGUG
rnacentral:rRNA from 1 species